rnacentral:rRNA from 1 species
GACGAACGCCGGCGGCGUGCUUAACACAUGCAAGUCGAGCGGUAAGGCCCUUUCGGGGGUACACGAGCGGCGAACGGGUGAGUAACACGUGGGUGACCUGCCCUCAGCUCUGGGAUAAGCCUGGGAAACCGGGUCUAAUACUGGAUAUGACUCCAUGACGCAUGUUGUGGGGUGGAAAGCCUUGUGCGGCUGAGGAUGGGCCCGCGGCCUAUCAGCUUGUUGGUGGGGUGAUGGCCUACCAAGGCGACGACGGGUAGCCGGCCUGAGAGGGCGACCGGCCACACUGGGACUGAGACACGGCCCAGACUCCUACGGGAGGGCAGCAGUGGGGAAUCUUGCGCAAUGGGCGAAAGCCUGACGCAGCGACGCCGCGUGAGGGAUGACGGCCU